rnacentral:rRNA from 1 species
UGGGGAAUCUUCCGCAAUGGACGAAAGUCUGACGGAGCAACGCCGCGUGAGUGAAGAAGGUUUUCGGAUCGUAAAAACUCUGUCUUUUGGGGCGAACGUGAGUAUGGUGAACAAUCAUAGCCAGUGACGGUACCAAAGGAGGAAGCCACGGCUAACUACGUGCCAGCAGCCGCGGUAAUACGUAGGUGGCAAGCGUUGUCCGGAAUUAUUGGGCGUAAAAGAGCGCGUAGGCGGGAUAGUCAGUCUGUUGUAAAAGUGCGGGGCUCAACCCCGUGAUCGCAAUGGAAACAGCUAUUCUUGAGUGCAGGAGAGGAAAGUGGAAUUCCCAGUGUAGCGGUGAAAUGCGUAGAUAUUGGGAGGAACACCAGUGGCGAAGGCGACUUUCUGGACUGUGUCUGACGCUGAGGCGCGAAAGCCAGGGGAGCGAACGGGAUUAGAUACCCCGGUAGUCCUGGCCGUAAAACGAUGGGUACUAGGUGUGGGAGGUAUCGACCCCUUCCGUGCCGGAGUUAACGCAAUAAGUACCCCGCCUGGGGAGUACGGUCGCAAGACUGAAACUCAAAUGAAUUGACGGGGGUCAUAGCUGUUUCCUG